rnacentral:rRNA from 1 species
UACGUAGGGCGCAAGCGUUAUCCGGAAUUAUUGGGCGUAAAAGAGCUCGUAGGCGGUUUGUCGCGUUCUGCCGUGAAAGUCCGGGGCUCAACUCCGGAUCUGCGGUGGGUACGGGCAGACUAGAGUGAUGUAGGGGAGACUGGAAUUCCUGGUGUAGCGGGUGAAAUGCGUAGAUAUCGUAAGGAAGACCAGUGGCGAAGGCGGGUCUCUGGAACGAACUGACGCUGAGACGCGAAAGCGUGGGGGAGCAAACAGG